rnacentral:rRNA from 1 species
AACGAACGCUGGCGGCAGGCCUAACACAUGCAAGUCGAACGAGUGGCGGACGGGUGAGCAAUGACUGGGAAACUGCCUGAUGGAGGGGGAUAAGUACUGGAAACGGUAGCUAAUACCGCAUACCUGCAGAUGUGCCCAGAUGGGAUUAGCUAGUUGGUGGGGUAACGGCUCACCAAGGCGACGAACCUUAGCUGGGCUGAGAGGAUGACCAGCCACACUGGAACUGAGACACGGUCCAGACUCCUACGGGAGGCAGCAGUGGGGAAUAUUUCACAAUGGGCGAAAGCCUGAUGCAGCCAUGCCGCGUGUAUGAAGAAGGCCUUCGGUUUGUAAAGUACUUUCAGCGGGGAGGCGUUACCCGCAGAAUAAGCACCGGCUAACUCCGUGCCAGCAGCCGCGGUAAUAC